rnacentral:rRNA from 1 species
ACCUACGGGACGCAGCAGUGAGGAAUAUUGGUCAAUGGACGAGAGUCUGAACCAGCCAAGUAGCGUGAAGGAUGACUGCCCUAUGGGUUGUAAACUUCUUUUGUCAGGGAGCAAUUGAGUCCACGUGUGGUCUUAGCGAGAGUACCUGAAGAAAAAGCAUCGGCUAACUCCGUGCCAGCAGCCGCGGUAAUACGGAGGAUGCGAGCGUUAUCCGGAUUUAUUGGGUUUAAAGGGUGCGUAGGCGGAAUAUCAAGUCAGCGGUAAAAAUUCGGGGCUCAACCCCGUCGUGCCGUUGAAACUGAUGU